rnacentral:lncRNA from 1 species
GUCAAACUUACAUCCAUCAUGGUUAUCCCGAUCCAACGCAACCCAUAAAUUAUCCUAAAACUAAAACACUAUAGAUUAUUACUUGCUUGCAAAUGAUAAUAAUUGUUAAUAAUUCUAAAGUAGUCAUCUCGUAUAUUGUGGAUUCAUUCUCAAACCUUAUAUAAAUCCACUGUCACAUUGUUCUUACAUCAUACUUUUGUUUACUUCCAUAGUUGGUACUAUGCAAAUGGAAGGAAGAACACACAUUGUUUGAGCUGUCACGAUAAAUUUUAUUAUUGUGUGAUCAAAUUAGCUGAUUAAUCAUGAGGAACCCUGCAAGUUGUUAGAUGAGAAGAUUGACAAAGUAAAUUCUAGAAAUACACAAUGACAAUGUUAAAAUAUCUUAAUUGUAUUUGGUAUCACGUGGUUGUUUCAAGCUUCAUUAAGAAGGAAAUCAAAGUUAUAUCAGUCAUUUUUUUUUUUCAUUUAUAUAUAUCAAGCAUGCUAGAUUGACGUGGAGGAGUCUUGGUAAAACUGACAGACAAUGUUAAAAAAUCUUAAUUAAGAAUGGCAUUUGGUCUGUAGAAACCAACAAUGACAUCCUUAAUUGUUAUAGCAAUAUGUAUCAUGUAUAAUAAUCUACUAUGUAGUAAUGUGACUUCAUUACUUAUGUAGGUCCACACAUACUCAAUUAUACAUAACCCAAAUUUUUAUAUAAGAAGAAACUUGUCAAACCAUUCUUUUGAAAGACAGUAAAUUAUGUUGUUACCCCCAAUCAAUUAUAUUCUUAUUUUCAUAAAAACAACAAUAUCAACACACUAUACAUUUUCUUUUAUAUUUUAUUUUAUUUUUCAUUUUAAAAAUAAUAACAAUUUGGCUAUCACUAAUAUUAUAUGUUAUAAUCUAUACUUUAUUCUUUCAAACCACUGUCACUUAUUUAUAAUUUUUUUCAUUAUGUUCUCCUCUCUCAAGUAUCUUUCCUUUUAUUCAAAUAAUUUUACUUUCUAUUCCAUUUUUCUUGUUUUCUUCACCUCACACUUUUUACUUUUUCUUUCGAAACAAAUACUUUUAGAAUUGGGUAGCAUGGGAGGCAGGAAGGACACAGCUUUGAUCACUUGUAACAAGAUAUGGCUGGAAUACCACAGAACAUGCAUGGUGUCGUUCAUGGGAAGCCAAACAUACCCUACAAGAAAGUUAUUACAGUUCAUUACCACUUCAUUAUAAUCAUUUUAUAAAUUGCUUAGUGUAGCUCAUUAUCCACUUCACUAUGAUCGUCAUACAAUAUUUCCAGAGGAAUUUGGAUUCUCUACUGAGAGAGAAAGAAAAAGAGACAAUAAGCCCUGCAAUCUAGUCUUCUCCUUCCCCUCUCAAAACCUACAGUGUUCUCUAACAAGAAGGACACACAAAAUCUAUUAAAACCAUUACAUGUCAUUUGUACAAUCUCACUUCUUAAUAACGCAGUGUUAAAAAAAUGAUGAAAUAAUAAAAGUAUCGGCAUCAUAAUUCAAGCUUAUUACCCUUUACCUUCCCUGCCUCACCCAUGAGUAUUGAGUACCCAACCAACUGAUUUGUGUGUCUCAAGAUGGGAAAACAGUAGGAAAGAGCUGAAGUACGAUUGCAUAUAAUCUGAAUAAAGGAAAAUCAUGGAGAGCUGAAGAGAAGAAAAAAAAAUUCCACAUCUAUUUUCUCAUGGUAGAUAAUUUUAAAAGAAAACAAAAACUAAAACCCUACUUCAUUACUAAAUUUUGACUCACCCAAAAUUAAAAAAAUUUCAAAGAGAUUUUUUUUACAGUUAAACAGAGAACAUUUUUAAUCAUUCUGAUAUAUCAAGUCCUGCAGACAUUAACCCUUCAACUUUGCAGCCAUUACCUAAAUGUUCUUUUGUACAAUCAUUAAACAAAAACAAAGAAUCCACAACAACAAUAAUAAAUUAGUACUUUUUUUCACCAUGGAUAGAAGAAAGUACUAAUCCACAAAGUUGAUGGUCAAUCAGUGCAGGAUAGUUUGACAAAUUGUUUUUCUUUCGAAUCAGAACUUCUCUAUCUAUAAAAUUCAAACUCAAAAUCUUAGCUCAUCAUUGUUCUUACCAAACAAAUUCAGAAUCAAAAAUAAAACAGACUAAUUCAUCUCACCUUGCUUCAACAAUAUCCAAAUCACAAAAUUAAUCAGACAAACGGCAUUAAAUCAAAUGAGUUAAAGCAAAAACCUAAAAGCAGGCAAGAGGAUAAAGAGAAAUAGAAUAUCAAUAAACAUUUAAUAUAAAUAUAUAAAUAUAUAUACAUACAGAGAGGAUAUUCUCAAUCGGAAUGUGGAUGACGAUAGCCAAGGUAGGAAAAGAGAGAGCGGAAGAGGUAGUGGAAAGGGAGGCAGAAGAGGAGGUGCAAAACGACGUCGCUGCUAAGCCUCUCGGGAUUGCAAGCUAUGAAUUGGAAAAGAUGCGCUGAAGCGUGCGCCACUCUCGCCACCAAGUUGCUGUUCAGCACCAUCCUCGAUCUACGUCGUCGUUUUCUGCUUCCUUCGUCUUCUUCUCCACCCUGAUCCGUGUUUGUUUCGCAAUCAAAAUCAAGCUCUAUUCGAGGACAAGGCCGUGUUUGUUAGUUGCACGUUUGGGACCUUUUCGACUUGGAUUAUGCUUUUCUCGGACGCGCUUUUCUGGAAUGUGAUGAGAUGAGCGAUGACAGGACAAGGUUUCGAGAAAGGGUUAAUUUAUUUGGUUGGUUCUUAAGGAAAAUAAUUUAAUUUUAUUGCAUUUAUUUAUUCUUUAGUUUUUUUUUUCUUUAUCAACUUGGGUAUUCUAAAUGAAACGGCCAUUUCUUUGUAAUUACAGAUUAUUUGUAAAUAUGGAACAUGCAUAAUGCUAAUAAAUGUAUGACUCUACUCA